rnacentral:lncRNA from 1 species
AAAAUUUUCAAUUCAAACUAGGCCACCCGUUAAUAGUGAACUGGAUUUAACCCCUUAAUUGGUGUUCUUCAUCCGCUAACAAUUUUCGCCAUCUUCUUCUCCAAAUUUCAGCCAUAAUUUACCGUAUGAGUGAGGCCCAAUGAGUAUGGGGAAGAUAUUAAUCGUAGCCUUGUUGACAAGAAGCCGCCGGAUUAUCCUUUUUCGGGUUGCUAGUUAAUCGCAGAUAGGUUUUCCAAUAUAUUUCUCUCAACUGGAUGAUUAAAAUGGCAUUGGUAUCUCUAGGGUGAUUGUUGAGGGGAUAAGAAACAAGAUGAAAUACUAGUUUUUUUAUUUAGCAUGACAGUAAUGGACAUAUCUUCAGGUUGAAAGCUCGUUGGUAAAAGGAAAUUGAAGAGUCAAAAGGGUUUCAAGGACAAAGCCCAUAAAGCUUUUCUGGGGUAGGUUAUUA